AGGAUUAGCUCAGCUGGGAGAGCGUCUGCCUUACAAGCAGAGGGUCGGCGGUUCGAGCCCGUCAUCCUCCA
rnacentral:tRNA from 1 species